GUAGGCAACAACAUAAGUUAGAGGUCUUGAUUAGUGAAUCAAACUCCAACAACUUGUCAUGCCGAAAAGAAGAUGAGAAAUGAUCUUGUAUUGAUUUAGGUCCUUUGCAUGAUUUCGAAAGCAAUCUAUCCUUAAUGCAAAGCCAUUCAUUUGAUCAUUUAAUCAAGAUGAAUUAGAUUUGAAUCAAGGAAGAUUAAACCUCCCUAAUCAAUGCUAACCAUCAACCUUUAACUCAUUAAUCAAAAAAAAAAGAAAAGAAGAAGAAGAAGAAGAAAUAGAAAUGAAGAAAUC
rnacentral:lncRNA from 1 species